UGGCUUAAACUCCCUGCUGAUGACGUAGAGGAACAGAUAUACAAGUUGGUCAAAAAGGGAUUGACUCCAUCUCAAAUUGGUGUUAUAUUGAGGGAUUCACAUGGUGUUGCACAAGUGAGGUUUGUUACAGGCAA
rnacentral:sRNA from 1 species